rnacentral:lncRNA from 1 species
CUACCCCGGCUCCUUGGGAUAGAUGGGGAGGCUGAGGCCCAGAAGGGGGCUGAGACCACCUCCCAGUUUCCCCAGCGAGGUGGCGCCUGAGCCACGGCCAGGCCCGGCCUCCUUCCACCCGGCCCUGCUGUGCGCGCGGCAGGUGCUGACCUGGCGAGGCCCGACAGGGGACCAGGUCGGGGUGACCGUCACUGACACCUGGACAGUCCUCGUUGUGUUCGGGGUGGGAAGCCCACGGUGAGUCUGGGGACCCAAGAUCUUAUUUUCCUUUCUGUCACCCCCGCUUGGUUUUGGACUCCAUGACAGCUGGACCCGGCUUCUGCGUGAUCUUCAGAGGGAAGGCACCGGGAGUGGACUGCUGGACACCCGGAGUGGACUGCAGGAGGACACAGAAGCUAGGCUGAAGCGGGAGGAAGCUGGGAACCCUGCACGGGGCCACUGCGCACUGGGACUCGUUACUGGUCCCCAAGACUCAGGGAGAAUGGGUGAGUUGAACUGGCAAGGAGGAGCCCACUGUCACUACGGGCCUCUGGAAUCCCGGCAGGAGGAGAUUAACCACCAUGGACACUCGAGGUGGCAGAGAGAGCUGCCUAGAGAAGGUGUGGGGGCAGCAGCCAGCUGAGGCAGAGCCCGGAGGGUUUGGUGCAGGAGAGUCUGUAGUGGAGGGCCAUCCCCCAGGCUCAAAUUCCUCCCAUAGGAGAUUUUAGCCCUAGGGGAGCUGUUGUAUGUGAUCUUUGCAGGGCGGUCUUGCCCAUCAGAUGGGGCCAGUCUGACCCGAGCAUGCCUUGGUCUGCUGGCCUCUCCCAGGGCCCCGGCCUGGCCACGCCUGCUUGCAGGCCAGCUCUGGGUGCCCUGGGGGCCUGCAGCAUAGCUUCUGCACUGGUGGACCAUGCCUGAUUGGUGGAGAGCUCCAGCAGGGCAGCCCCCAUAUCCCUGUGCCAGCCUGCCCACUGCCUCCCACACUGCAGCUUCUCCAGGGCCCACUGUCACCCCCCAUCUUGCUUUUGCCAGUGCAUAUCUGUGCAGGUGGGUUUUGCUUUCCUUGCCCGCCAGUGUACCUGUGUGUUUGCACCGUGCCCUGCCAUUGCUGUGGCAGGAGUACCGUUUGCCCCACGCCCCCUGCUGACUGCCAUUGCAGUUGGAGCCUUGGCAGACACAGAGCCAGCCAGCCCCACCUCCCUUGCACCCCACUCUUGCACCAACACUGUUGCGGGAGUGAAACUAGGCACGGAACAGGGACCACCCUGCCUGUGGGGCACAAAGAAUGCCACAGGCCUGGGCCUGCCGGUGCUCCACCUCCAUCCCAACACCACCACCAGCAUGGCUGUUGCCAGCAGGGGGCCCUGCCCCCCAGGUGCUUUCUUCUGCCACUGUGGUGAACACCUGCAUGGAGGCAGGCACCCAAGCACUUGCUAGCACCCUGCCACAGCCGAUGAACGUGCACCCUGUGCUGCUGCCACCACGGCUGCUGGCAUGUGCAAGCAAGAAUGGAUCCUGCUGCCACUGCACUGCAAAAUGCAUUGGCUGGCACCACCUAUCAGAGUGUAGUGACCGGUAGUGAGGAGCACCUUGAUCCCUCAGUGCAGUUGAUUCCUAACCUCCAGGAGCCAGAGAACAAAGUUGGUGCCUGAUACAAGUCCCCCAGUUAGAGCACACAGUCCGGGAGUCAGGAACUGAGCCUUGGCCCCCUAAAAUCAUCCAGAAACAAAGCCAGUCAGCUGAAUCCAACUUAUACUACAAUCAAAUCCUCAAGGUCAUCAAAUAGGAUAAAAGAAAAAAAAA